AGAAAUUUUAUAAAUGUAUGAAGAUAGAACAAUGAAGGCUGUUGAAAGUGUUCUAAGACGGGGACAGAAAGGGGCUCCUCAGCUAUGAUGCAAACCUAUUGCCUGUGCAUCAUCCAUCUCAGCCAGACCACAUUACCUCUAUAUCCCUUUGGGCCAAGGAGGACUGAGCCAGUUAGUUUCUCAACAGAUAUGGUUGACUGAGUCAUAGCAUGUUUUGGUAAAAAUUAAUGUGAAGACACCGUGUUAGAAAGGAUUUGAAGACAUGGAAAUCAUUUAAGAAGGUACUCAAGCUUCAUGACCUCAGCUGAUAAAAAAAUUGUUG